rnacentral:lncRNA from 1 species
AUGUUCCCUAAGCACCUGCUCCAUGUUGGACCUUGGCAUGUUUAUUACAAAUUACAGUAUAACUUGGGUCCGCCUCCUUCCCCCAGGUUUUGUGGGAGGAGCUGUCUGCAUUGGUGGAGCCUUGUCUUUUGCAUAAUUCAGAGUUGUGGCCCAGAGGAAACGGCAGUUUCCACAGGCAGAAUGCGGUUUGAAUUCUCGUACUGCAUUUUCAUAUUCACAGACUUCUUAACUGGGGAGAGUCCCGACCCACUGUGUGGAGUUCAUGAAGAUGAAAUGGCUCCUCUCGAGGCAGGAGUGAAGGGGGCACAGGGAGGAAAUGCCCACUGCCAGAAGCAGUCCUGUGCCUGCUCAGCGCGCAGCCUAGGAGACCUUGUUAGCGAGAAGGGAGGCCUGGGCGCUGAGCUUUCACUCGGAGCUGGCCUGGGGCUGGGAGCACUUGCCAUUUCUUUAAAGGGUCCUGGGUGUCAGAGAAGCCUGCGUUCCUUGCCCUCGGGAGGGGAGAGACCAGUGAGGACAAGGCGCCUUUGGCAGCUCCAGCUCUUCUGUGGCCUUAGAUCUCCGGGGAAGGACUCCAAGUUGCUCCUGUGUCUGACUGCAGUGCCGACCUGGGGACUUGGAGCAGAUCUGUGUCGUGUUCUGGGGACCUGCUGCCAUGGCGUCUGGGGCUCUCGCUCUGACGGGUGCCUUUCUCAGGAGACCAACUCCUCCUCCUCCUGCUGUGGCGCCGUGUAG